UUCAAUUUUUUUUAUUGCGUAUUUUUUUUUGAAAAUAAACAUGCUAUGAUGCAAAUGAUGCAGACAAAACUGGUAGUUCACCUUAUGUGCAUGGGAAUGAUGCUACAGUGCACGUUUUAUGAACCAAACACACUCCAAAUGUUGUUUAAGACCAAAUGCAAUUGAUUGGAAGUGUGGAAAAUGCUUAAUUUUCAAAUUCAACUUUUUCCCUCCAAAUUCAAAUUCUAUUCACAUGGAAAAUGCAAUAUUUUUG
rnacentral:lncRNA from 1 species